rnacentral:tRNA from 1 species
AAUAAUGAAGCUAUACCAAGCAGUCAGUUUCGACCUGAAAUAUAGGCAAAUCACGCCCUUAUUA